CUCACCAGAGCAUUCACGGGAGCAAUUCUCCCUCCCCACCCCUGACACCUGCCAUGGAAAAUGCUGCAUUAUUCAUUGGGGAGCUAAUGGCAGGUGAUGAGAUCUUUUCACGCUACAUCCCUCUCAGUAGGUGUUUAUCACUCUGUUCCCCAGCAGCCCUGCUAUUACUGAGGGGCCAGAAGAACCCUACACACUCGCUUGAAAGGUGAAGAUUCAUGUAUUGCUUGGACACUUUAGAGUAUUCUUUUGUCAUCCAUAUGAGUAACAAGGACCUACAGGAAUCAGCUGCUGAUACGGCCUUGUGUGUUCUGCAUUCUCCUCAAAAGCCAGGUAGGGAAAUAUAUUCAAGACAAGCUGGUGGAAAGGUUCAUCUUUCCUCUGUGUAUCAGAAACGACAGAUUUGGUGACCUUCCACCAAUUUGGUGAGAGUGAAGGCAAAUUCAACGACAGACUUUACAUCAUUAAUGAAGUCAGCAUGAACUUGACAAGUACUUUGAAAAAUGUUUAAUUCAAUGAUAAAGAGCCUGCCCAAGAGUUUAAAAUACAAUAAAAACAAGAACGUACAUCAAUUGUUGAUCCCAUCUGAUGGCAGUCUGUCCUUGAGCAUAUAGCUAAAAGGAUUUUCUCUGUAUCAAGUGGCACAACUACGGUGGACAUUCUGGAAACCAGAGCUGCUUUGUACUUGACCCAGCACUUGAAGAAGCUGCAGGAGGAGACUCGACAGGAGCAGAGGGAGGCGUGUGCUCAGAGCAAGAGUUGGGCCGUCACAGAACAGCAGCAUAUGAGGAGGAGGAAAGGUACUGCCACUGAAC
rnacentral:lncRNA from 1 species